rnacentral:rRNA from 1 species
UGGAAAGGCGCGCGAUACAGGGUGACAGCCCCGUACACAAAAAUGCACAUAUUGUGAGCUCGAUGAGUAGGGCGGGACACGUGGUAUCCUGUCUGAAUAUGGGGGGACCAUCCUCCAAGGCUAAAUACUCCUGACUGACCGAUAGUGAACCAGUACCGUGAGGGAAAGGCGAAAAGAACCCCGGCGAGGGGAGUGAAAAAGAACCUGAAACCGUGUACGUACAAGCAGUGGGAGCACGCUUAGGCGUGUGACUGCGUACCUUUUGUAUAAUGGGUCAGCGACUUAUAUUCUGUAGCAAGGUUAACCGAAUAGGGGAGCCGAAGGGAAACCGAGUCUUAACUGGGCGUUAAGUUGCAGGGUAUAGACCCGAAACCCGGUGAUCUAGCCAUGGGCAGGUUGAAGGUUGGGUAACACUAACUGGAGGACCGAACCGACUAAUGUUGAAAAAUUAGCGGAUGACUUGUGGCUGGGGGUGAAAGGCCAAUCAAACCGGGAGAUAGCUGGUUCUCCCCGAAAGCUAUUUAGGUAGCGCCUCGUGAAUUCAUCUCCGGGGGUAGAGCACUGUUUCGGCAAGGGGGUCAUCCCGACUUACCAACCCGAUGCAAACUGCGAAUACCGGAGAAUGUUAUCACGGGAGACACACGGCGGGUGCUAACGUCCGUCGUGAAGAGGGAAACAACCCAGACCGCCAGCUAAGGUCCCAAAGUCAUGGUUAAGUGGGAAACGAUGUGGGAAGGCCCAGACAGCCAGGAUGUUGGCUUAGAAGCAGCCAUCAUUUAAAGAAAGCGUAAUAGCUCACUGGUCGAGUCGGCCUGCGCGGAAGAUGUAACGGGGCUAAACCAUG